AAUAAUUGAUAAAUCAUCUUUUAGAAGUUACACAAUUAAAAGAAUAAAGGGAAAGAAAAACUCCAAGUUGUAGCCUUCAGAUCUGCUCUUCCUCCUUGCUCUAGUCUUCAAUUGUGUAGAGUUGUCUCAAUUCAAUAAGAAUAAACCAAUUUAUAUUUUCUUGCCCAAUUCGACAAAUCCUAGUCCAAUUAGGCUUCUAAAACACACCAAAUACGAAGUCAACUGUUGGUCAACACCAGCCCUUAACUGCUCCACACGCGCGCGCCUCUUCCUGAGUUGACCGAGGACUAGCGCCUCGGCGCUGUUUUUAAGCUUAGGAAUAGCGCCCCGGCGCUGUUGAGCAGAAAAUGCCUCUUGCCUCCUUUUUCAACCCAAUUGUUCCACAUUGUUCCUAAUUGCUCCCAAUCAAUGCACACUCCUGCCACAACACACUAAAGCGAGUAAAAUAAUACUAAAACGCUUCGAACACAUAACAAAUUAAGGUUAAACGUAAUUAAUUCAUGGGUAUAUUACCCAAUCAUCAAUCACCUUUAACCUAAACACGCAAAAAAAUUAAGAAUAAACAUGAAACCAAAAUGCAUAUUUAAUGUUCGUCAAAUUUUCAUACAGGAUUCAAAGCUUGACCAAUAUGUGGACAUCUUAACCUCCUUUUUAAGUUGGUGAGUUCAUAAAUAAAAAAAAAAUAAUUGUUUUCUGGAUUAUAGUCUGGACGGAUCCACCUUAAGGGCAGAGGGGACAAUUGCCCCACUGAAUUUUCAGGUUUUCAAGCCGUAGAGUUCAGAUGUAGGUCGUACGUGGGGUAAGAUCAACGACAAUUCUUAUCCUACGUUGGGCACCAGCAGUGGGGGUAUCGUUUGCUUGCGGCGUAGUGGACGAUACUUUUAGCGAGUAGUGGUAGGUUGGAGUUCGCUGGAUGUGGGUUUUUUGGGGGUUGCAAUUGGGGGUAAAUGGAAAAUUAGGGCUUUUGAUUGGAGGAAUCAGACCUGAGUGAGGGUUAUUCUCUCUCUUCCUGUUGAGCAGAAAAUAAUGUGUGAAAUGGGAUGAAAGAAAUUAAGAAUGCAAAGUAGCAACGUUGUGCGGCGUUGUUUUUCUGUCAAUAGGGUGAGAGUUUGUAAACCAUAUGCUAAAAACAAACGUUAGCCUAUUUUUUCUGGGAUUAGGCCCAUCCAAAAUGUUCUGGAUAUUAAAAAU
rnacentral:lncRNA from 1 species